GGGUGAUCCAGAGCGCCUUCCUGCACGCCAUCCAGCACUACAGUCAAAACACCGCGGGCAGGAGGCUUCAGCUUCACGCCUUUGUGGGCAUCAUCAGUAUGGCGGAUGCCUUCAAGAUAUCCAGACUGAGUGAUGUCACAGAGAGCAAGUAGAAGAAAACCUGGGAGACUUGCAAGAGCCGCACCUCACCGGGGCUCUGCAAUGUGUGGCAGCGACUGCAGGAAUCAACACUUCGGUUUGUCAGCACACAGUUUCAGCAACCUUGUUCAUCAGACUGUUGGUGAAAGGUGAUCACUAUGAAAGAGGUCAAGACUCCACAGACCGACUGGGAGACAUGACGUCAGUGCCACCACGCAGGGAGUAAAACCAAGAGGAGGAAGAGGAGCAUUCAUGAGACAUCAGCUGGUCAGCAGUCCAUUCAGGGUUGCUUUUCAUUACAUCAUUAUUUGUCCAUAAUUUCCCUUCUGGGGUUGGACAGCCCAUGAGUAUCUCCCACUUGCAGCUGUAGACAAUUUCUUCCUUACUGUUAAGUGUUGUCAUGCCUUCCUCCACACACCAUCUCAAGAUCUUCCCAGUGGUUUCCUUCCAAGUACUCUAAUGCUCUUCUCAGUUUGUGGCCCUGAUUUGUAAGUGCCAGGAAGACCAUGGUGAAGGCAGCCCACAAACCUUCCGUUGGACAUGAGUGGUGAACGGCAGUGAAAAUAUGGCAGUAUCUGAUUCUUUGCACCAAAACACAGUGUGCUUAUUAACAGAUUUAUUCACUGUUCACUCAUUUGCUCAUCUCUAAAGGAGUGAAGAGUGUGCACUGAAUUUCACAAGAGGAAGUGAAGGAUGAAGCAUGAAGGUUUUAGGCCAAAAUGAACAGACAGCAAUCAGGAAUGACACGUCCAGCAAAACCGGCAACACAGCAGAGUGCAGCCUCUACAAGUGGUGGAGGGCAUGGACACUUGGAUAUGGAUGACACUGGUUUGGGUGCCAAAUAUUAAUAGUGCACCUACACAAUUACCACACUCGCUCCUCUCACCAGGCUUAACUAUAAA